AUUGAACGCUGGCGGCAUGCCUUACACAUGCAAAUCGAACGGUAACGGGCCUUCGGGUGCCGACGGGUGGCGCACGGGUGAGUAAUACAUCGGAACGUGCCCGAUCGUGGGGGAUAACGAGGCGAAAGCUUUGCUAAUACCGCAUACGAUCUACGGAUGAAAGCAGGGGACCGCAAGGCCUUGCGCGGACGGAGCGGCCGAUGGCAGAUUAGGUAGUUGGUGGGAUAAAAGCUUACCAAGCCGACGAUCUGUAGCUGGUCUGAGAGGAUGAUCAGCCACACUGGGACUGAGACACGGCCCAGACUCCUACGGGAGGCAGCAGUGGGGAAUUUUGGACAAUGGGCGCAAGCCUGAUCCAGCCAUGCCGCGUGCAGGAUGAAGGCCUUCGGGUUGUAAACUGAUUUUGUACGGAACGAAAAGCCUUCUUUUAAUACAGGAGGGUCAUGACGGUACCGUAAGAAUAAGCACCGGCUAACUACGUG
rnacentral:rRNA from 1 species